AAAUAUGCUGAGGUGUUGCUGGUUGGUCACGAAAGUUUUGCUACACCGUUAUCAAGGUGUACUAAAGCUGCUAAACUGUUGUUUAUCUGCCCCCUGGGUGUACACAGCCAUGGACCAGUCCACACAGCGUGCAAAGCCUUCUUUCAGCAAGAGCUCUGUGAUGUUCCCAUUCUGUAAAAAAGUGAAAUUAAUGUAAAAAAAAAAAAAUGGCGAAAAAGUAAAAAUACAUAAUGGAUAAAGAAGGAAUAAGCAUUACAAGAUCUGGAUCAGGAUCUGAAUACCAUGUAUUCACAUUCUGGAGGUGUUCCUGACAAGGUCAACCUCUGCCUGUCUCUGGCCCAAACAAGGGAAAAUAGAGUCCAAGCACUUGGCCCGAUGCAAACACAUUGGCAAGCCUGACAGCACAUGUACAUUUAGAACACUGAUGCCUGGUUUCACCCUGACAAGGACAAAUGAAAUAAAAUGCU